GACGAACGCUGGCGGCGUGCCUAAUACAUGCAAGUCGAACGCUUCUUUCCUCCCGAGUGCUUGCACUCAAUUGGAAAGAGGAGUGGCGGACGGGUGAGUAACACGUGGGUAACCUACCCAUCAGAGGGGGAUAACACUUGGAAACAGGUGCUAAUACCGCAUAACAGUUUAUGCCGCAUGGCAUAAGAGUGAAAGGCGCUUUCGGGUGUCGUUGAUGGAUAGACCCGCGGUGCAUUAGCUAGUUGGUGAGGUAACGGGUCACCAAGGCCACGAUGCAUAGCCGACCUGAGAGGGUGAUCGGCCACACUGGGACUGAGACACGGCCCAGACUCCUACGGGAGGCAGCAGUAGGGAAUCUUCGGCAAUGGACGAAAGUCUGACCGAGCAACGCCGCGUGAGUGAAGAAGGUUUUCGGAUCGUAAAACUCUGUUGUUAGAGAAGAACAAGGACGUUAGUAACUGAACGUCCCCUGACGGUAUCUAACCAGAAAGCCACGGCUAACUACGUG
rnacentral:rRNA from 1 species